CAUGGGAUCAGGCAAUUACGGUCUGGCUGGGCUGAUGGACCAGCUUACAUAACCCAAUGUCCUAUUCAGACAGGGCAAAGUUAUGUCUACAACUACACCAUUGUUGGCCAAAGAGGCACUCUGUUUUACCAUGCUCACAUCUCAUGGCUAAGAGCAACAGUCUAUGGUCCUAUUAUCAUCCUUCCCAAACGCGGUGUUCCUUACCCCUUCCCCAAACCUCACAAAGAAGUUCCCAUGAUCUUUGGUGAGUGGUUCAACGCAGACCCUGAGGCAAUCAUUCGCCAAGCAACCAAGACCGGAGGUGGGCCUAAUGUCUCUGAUGCUUACACCAUCAACGGGCUUCCCGGCCCGUUAUACAACUGCUCAGCUAAAGGUAAUCGUUGCUUCCUACAAAGUAGAACUACUUAUUCGGAUAGUAACCACUAACCAAUGAUGUUUAAAACAGAUACAUUCAGACUGAGAGUGAAGCCAGGAAAGACAUACCUUCUAAGGCUAAUCAACGCUGCGCUUAACGACGAGCUCUUUUUCAGCAUCGCAAACCACACGGUUACAGUCGUCGAAGCCGACGCGAUCUACGUCAAGCCAUUCGAGACGGACACCAUCUUAAUCGCUCCUGGACAGACCACAAACCUGCUUCUGAAGACCAAACCGAGUUACCCUAAUGCCUCUUUCUUGAUGACCGCUAGACCGUACGUCACAGGUCAAGGAACUUUCGAUAACUCUACAGUCGCAGGCGUAUUAGAAUACGAACAACCUAAACAUGCCAAGACCUCUAUCAAGAACCUUCCGCUCUUCGCACCGGUGCUUCCCGCUCUAAACGAUACAAACUUCGCUUCCAAGUUCAGCAACAAGCUGCGUAGUCUGAACAGCAAGAGAUUCCCAGCUAACGUGCCUCUGAAGGUUGAUAGGAAGUUCUUCUUCACGGUAGGAUUGGGGACAACUCCGUGUAACCAUAAGAACAACCAGACGUGCCAGGGUCCAACUAACACCACGAUGUUCGCUGCAUCGAUCAGCAACAUCUCCUUCACUAUGCCGACAAUCAGUUUAACCUUUAACGUGAAGGUUCAAAAGCGAAAAAUCACUUUGCAAAUAAUAUUAUAUAUAUAUAUAUUAUUUUUUUGAAUCGCAUGCAUAUAUUUUUACGUGAAACACAAUGGUUUUAGAAUAUUUUAUAAUUAUUAAAAUGUUUAUAUAUCCACGUAUAAGUUGGCUUGGCUGUCACACUAAUGUACAUAUAUUCGUAUAGUAUACGUACUAUAUAUGUUUACAUAUGUGCUUACAGCUUACAUUUUACUAUAUAUUGUUGUACAUUUCAAUAUAUAUUGUUGGAAUCUUAAUUAUAAAUCAAGGGUUGGUGCAUGCAACUACAAUAUAUAUGUGAAAACCUUUUCUCAAAAUAUAUAUGUGAAAAAUAAACAAUAAAACCGUACAUAUACCUUUCAGUCUAAUCAAACUCGCUUCACAUACCAAUCAUGUGUAUAUCAUACGCUCAUAUAUAUAAGGUAUACACUUUUGAAUGCUAAUUUAUUUCGUGAAAAUAAUAAUUGAUAUAUAGUGCCCAACGUCUUUGAUCAAGAAAAAAAAAUAUAGUGUCAAACUGUCAAUCUAUUUUUUUUAUCAUAUCUAAGUCUGAGUUCAAGUCCAAUAAUUUCAUCUUGUUAGUAGAGAUCACCAACUGAUUUAGUAUGUAUUCAUUUGUUAUUUAGACAAUUCAUUUUUUCUAUUAAUACGAAGAUAUUUCAUGCCUAUGAAAUUUCUCAAACUAAUAAUUUAAGAGAUGUAACAGUUUAGAGAUGGACUAUCUCUCCGAAUAUUCAAAUGAUGCAUAAACAAUAGGUCUCUAUAUCCAUGUGGCCACACGAAAAAUGUAGUGGAGUAUUUUCAAACUCAGAUUGCUUAUCAAGCUCGCCACUAGACUACAUGUAUUUCACACAAUUCAUAUACAAUGUCUCUAAAUCAAAAGUUAAUUCAGGUUUCAACUUAAUGUCGAUAUUUAGAUGGUGAGAUUGAAGUAUGUAUCAGUGUCUAAACUAGAGAUCGUCGAAAUUGGUUUGAUGUCUGAAUACCUAAAAGGUCAUAUAUGUUUUAGAACUACAGUGGAACAUUUAAGAUAUAAUAGUACUUCGUUUUCAAAUAAUGUUUGGAAUAAUCAUGUAUGUAUUAUAAUAAAGCUCUCGUGUCACGGAACAUAAACAUGCCUAGUUAAUAUAUCUAUAACUAUAUUUACUACUACUGAUUGUGAGUUACCAACUAAAAUAUUGUUAAAGACAUACUAAUGGUUUUGAACUACAUACUAUGAUGUGAACUUCUGAUUCAUCGUUGUGUCAUUCAACCACAUAAUCAAUUUAUAAAAUUAUUUAUUGUUUUCUUUUCUUUCUAGAACUAACGUUAUUAAAGAAAAAAUCAUAUAUCUUAAUUACCGACUUCGGAUAGUUAGGGAUAAUCUGAUACCUACUUGUUAGCAAUCUUGUCUACAUCAUGUUUUGAUUGUAGAUUGACUUUAAAUUUCGUGAAGAUUAUAAAUAUGAAAGACGGAUAACAAGCAAACAAAUCCCAUAUAUUAUUAGUGCAAAAACAAAUAUUUGUGUAAAGAGAAGCAUGUAUAAGUGAUUAAGUGGCAUGGCUUUGAGGAUACGGACUUAGAAAGAAGUUAGGUCACUUGCUUGGGAAAUAAAAUUGCGAACCUUAGUUUGAGAUUUUCUCAAUGUUUUUGUAAACCACGACAUGUUGACAAUAGCCUUCAUGGAUUUUGACAUCUAACCCUAAGCGUGACCUUUCUAUGAUAGCUACAAUCUCCCUCCCUUUGCUUAUUCCCCAAGCAAUUUUAGCUUACUAAUGUUUUGACUAACUCCAACAUCGGUUAAUCUUCUUAAAAAGUUCCCACCUGCAAAAUAAAAUCAAAUUAUUAAUAAACAGAUGAAGUACUUAUCACUUAACAUGCUUAUGGAAUGAUGAAAUCCAUUUAGUAAAACCAUAACCUUUAACCACAUAAGUUAUUCUUCUAGAAGUUCCCAAGGGUUGUAAAUUGUUUUCACAGACACUUUAGGUCGAUCAAGAGUUGUUGUUUGUCGGGUCUAAACAACACUUAGCUAAGGAUUAUAUCAAACAAUAUUAACUGCCACAUUUGGUCCGAGUUACUUACUUUCUCAUGUCAAAAUUUGAAGUUUAAAAUACUCAACGCAGAAGAGGAAGAGGAACUAUCAUAUCUAAGAAACUAAGACUCUUUGCAUUUCAUAUUUAGAAUCUACGCCAUAGUCUUGAAAAGGAAACUAUAGUUUUUGAGGGAUUAAACACGGUCAAAGAGAUUGACUUAUCUUUGACACCACUCAAUUCAUAAGCUGUUCUCAUAUAUGUUCUAACAACUAGUCGAUAUCAAGAGUCUCCAAUUACACAAACUUCUCUACCAAUAUCUUUUUGUUUCUACAUAAAUAACUACUAAAAUCUUUUUCUUCAAUAUUUCCAGCUCAAGCAAACACCUAACUUUCCUUUCUAUAUAUACACUAAAUGUUGAAACAAUGAAUACACAAUCUACAGCAAAAACAAAAACAAAACAGAAAUAGAAUAACAGAGGCAGACCAUUCAGUAACCGUGUCAACUUUAAUCAACGCCUCAAGGUCCAAGCUCGCUUAAAGAUCCUAAGGAUAUAAAACAAAUGGCGGUUUGGCUUCUCUUUGCUGUUCUCUCUUGUGUUCUUCUUCCUGAUCCUGUUUUUGGGAUUACAAGGCAUUAUACACUGGAGGUAUGUGAAAACUCGUUUAUUCUGAGUAAAUGUUAAAAUUGUAAACGAAGGGUUGGACAUGAUUAUGUGAUGUUUCGUUUUUUCACAGAUCAAAAUGCACAACGUAACACGUCUUUGCCACACGAAGAGUCUUGUUUCUGUUAACGGACAGUUUCCAGGGCCUAAGCUUAUUGCUAGAGAAGGUGACCAGCUUCUGAUCAAAGUUGUUAACCAUGUGCCAAACAAUAUCUCUAUCCACUGGUAAUAAUAAUUAUCUUUAAACACUUUUUAGCACUAUUAAUAGCGCAAUGUUUGAUUACUAACACUUGGGUUUAAUCUCAGGCAUGGGAUCAGGCAAUUACGGUCUGGCUGGGCUGAUGGACCAGCUUACAUAACCCAAUGUCCUAUUCAGACAGGGCAAAGUUAUGUCUACAACUACACCAUUGCUGGCCAAAGAGGCACUCUGUUUUACCAUGCUCACAUCUCAUGGCUAAGAGCAACAGUCUAUGGUCCUAUUAUCAUCCUUCCCAAACGCGGUGUUCCUUACCCCUUCCCCAAACCUCACAAAGAAGUUCCCAUGAUCUUUGGUGAGUGGUUCAACGCAGACCCUGAGGCAGUCAUUCGCCAAGCAACCAAGACAGGAGGUGGGCCUAAUGUCUCUGAUGCUUACACCAUCAACGGGCUUCCCGGCCCGUUAUACAACUGCUCGGCUAAAGGUAAUCGUCGAUUCCUAUCCUACAACUACUUUAAUGGUUUGAUAUAAGAAUAUGAUCUCUGUAACCAAUGGUGUUUAAAACAGAUACAUUCAGACUGAGAGUGAAGCCAGGAAAAACAUACCUUCUAAGGCUAAUCAACGCCGCGCUUAACGACGAGCUCUUUUUCAGCAUCGCAAACCACACGGUCACAGUCGUCGAAGCUGACGCGAUCUACGUCAAGCCAUUCGAGACGGAUACCGUCUUAA
rnacentral:lncRNA from 1 species